rnacentral:rRNA from 1 species
CCUACGGGUGGCAGCAGUGAGGAAUAUUGGUCAAUGGCCGGAAGGCUGAACCAGCCAAGCCGCGUGAGGGAGGAAUGCGCAGAGCGUCGCAGACCUCUUUUGCCGGGGGACAAAAGGCCGGACUCGUCCGUUCCUCAGGGUACCCGGAGAAAAAGCAUCGGCUAACUCCGUGCCAGCAGACACUGUAAUACGGGGGAUGCGCGCGUUAUCCGGAUUCAUUGGGUUUAAAGGGUUCGCUGGGGGGCCUUUAAGACGGCGGUGAAAUCGCGGGGCUCAACCCCGCCGAGCCGGCGGAACUGGGGGCCUUGAGGGCGGCGGAGGCAUGCGGAAUGCGUGGUGUAGCGGUGAAAUGCAGAGAUAUCGCGCAGAACCCCGAUUGCGAAGGCAGCGUGCCGUGCCGCCACUGACGCUGAGGCACGAAAGCGCGGGGAUCGAACAGGAUUAGAUACCCCUGUAGUC